rnacentral:rRNA from 1 species
GGGGAUUUUCUUAAGACUAAGCCAUGCAUGUGUAAGUAUAAGCGAAUUAUACUGUGAAACUGCGAACGGCUCAUUAUAUCAGUUAUAAUCCCUUCGGUAGUUCCUUUAUACGGAUACCUGCAGUAAUUCUGGAAUUAAUACGUGCUUUAGGGGCCCGACUUUCGGGGAGGGCCGCACUUAUUAGGAUUGAAGCCAAUAUAUUGGUGAGUCAUGAUAAUUGAGCAGAUCGCUUUUCGGAGCGAUGAAUCGUUUGAGUUUCUGCCCCAUCAGUUGUCGACGGUAGGGUAUUGGCCUACGGUGACUAUAACGGGUGACGGGGAGUUAGGGCUCGACUCCGGAGAGGGAGCCUGAGAGACGGCUACCACAUCCAAGGAAGGCAGCAGGCGCGUAAAUUACCCAAUGUGGACUCCACGAGGUAGUGACGAGAAAUAUCAAUGCGGGGCGCUUCGCGUCUUGCUAUUGGAAUGAGAGCAAUGUAAAACCCUCAUCGAGGAUCAACUGGAGGGCAAGUCUGGUGCCAGCAGCCGCGGUAAUUCCAGCUCCAGAAGCGUAUGCUAAAGUUGUUGCAGUUAAAAAGCUCGUAGUUGAAUUUCUGGCGUGGGAGCCCGGGUCUUGGUGCGAAUGCGCCUUGUUUACCUAGCGGCUCCUUUGCCAUCCUUGUGUGUUUUCAGGACUCGUUCCUUUCAGUGAAAUCAAAGCAAAGUGUUCAAGCCGGGCCGUAGGCCCGGUAUGUUUAUUAUGGUAUGAUCAGAUGGGACUGGGGUGCUAUUGUGUUGGUUGGCACAUCAGAGUAGUGUUUAAAGGAAACAGUGGGGGGGUAUCCUAUAUUUAGAGAGCUUAGAGUGUGAAUUUUCUUUGAUAUCUCCAAAAACACAAAUCUACAGGGAAAGGGCUUUUUCCCAAGCCAGUGUUUUCCUUUUAUUACAGAAACCAAAAAGCUCGGGGGAUAUCAAAAAUAAGAAUUAAUAUCCCUACUCGUAGCUCUGACACCCGUAAAGCAAAUCCUAGAUUUUCGCAUUUUGGGGGGUGGGGUUAAUUGUUAUUGGCCCCCUCCCGGCAGGCACCCCACUUGGGAAAAAUUUCAAAAUGCCUUUUUGGGUUUUCCCGGGGGGGGGAGAAUUAGGGGGUCCGCCAAGGGGGCUUUAAAACCCUUUAAAGGUGGAAACUUUUGACCGGGGAAAGGGGCCCCACCCCCCCCCGGGGGGAAUUUGGGGAACCCCCCGUUGGGGGGCCUUUUUAAUUUUUUGCAACCCUCCAACCCCCCAAGGGGGAAAAAAACCUUUUUCCCCCCCGGGGGUCCCCAAAAAGCUUUAAGGGGGGUGGGGGGAAUAUUAAGACCCAGAAGAAUUUGGGGGAAAAAAAGCCCCCCCUUUUUCAUCUUGGGGAAAAAUACUCCCAUUUUUUGUGGGGGGUGUGUGGUGUUGGAAAAAAUGCAACCAAGGGGGCCCCCCGGGGGUCUUUUCUGGUAAAAAAAGGGGGUGUUGUUUUGCGGGGGCAAAAAAGCGGGGGAAAAAAUUUUUUUUUUUUCCCCCCCCGGAGGGGGAGGGAGUGGAAAAUAAUUAUAUCCCCCCCGGUUUUUUUUUCCCCGAAAAAGAAACCCCAAAAGGAGAAAAAAAAACCCCCCUCUUUUUUCCCCCCCCCCCUCAAAACUCCUUAAAAAAAAAAACUUUUUUUUCUCUUCUUAAUAGGGGGGCGAACAGAAAGGGGGGCGGGCCCCAAAAACAUUUUUUAAAAGAGUGUUGUGGGGAAGAAAAUAUUUUUGUCCUGUUUACUAAAAAAAAACGAGGGGGGACAAAAAAAAAAAGAGGGGGCUCUUUCUCCGGGUUUUUUGUGUUCAAAAACAAGGGA